GGGACACGUGGUAUCCUGUCUGAAUAUGGGGGGACCAUCCUCCAAGGCUAAAUACUCCUGACUGACCGAUAGUGAACCAGUACCGUGAGGGAAAGGCGAAAAGAACCCCGGCGAGGGGAGUGAAAAAGAACCUGAAACCGUGUACGUACAAGCAGUGGGAGCCUCUUUUAUGGGGUGACUGCGUACCUUUUGUAUAAUGGGUCAGCGACUUAUAUUCUGUAGCAAGGUUAACCGAAUAGGGGAGCCGAAGGGAAACCGAGUCUUAACUGGGCGUUAAGUUGCAGGGUAUAGACCCGAAACCCGGUGAUCUAGCCAUGGGCAGGUUGAAGGUUGGGUAACACUAACUGGAGGACCGAACCGACUAAUGUUGAA
rnacentral:rRNA from 1 species